GAUCCUGGCUCAGGACGAACGCUGGCGGCGUGCCUAACACAUGCAAGUCGAGCGAGUGAAUCUCCUUCGGGAGUGAAGCUAGCGGCGGACGGGUGAGUAACACGUGGGCAACCUGCCUCAUAGAGGGGAAUAGCCUUCCGAAAGGAAGAUUAAUACCGCAUAAGAUUGUAGCUUCGCAUGAAGUAGCAAUUAAAGGAGCAAUCCGCUAUGAGAUGGGCCCCGCGGCGCAUUAG
rnacentral:rRNA from 1 species